UUUUUAUUAAACUUGCACGUUAAACAGGUUUUCUGGAAAAUAUCCUCCUGUAUUAAUAUGAUCCUGUUGCAUAUAAACUCCUUUUAUAUUAUCGCAGAAUCACAGAAUCACGGAACUGUAGGGGCUGGAAGGGACCUCUAGAGAUCAUUGAGUCCAAUCCCACUGCAAAGCAGGCUCCCUGCAGAAGGCUGCACAGGUUGGUGCCCAGGCAGGUCUUGAAUAUCUACAGAGAGGAGGGUCCAUAACCUCCAUGGGCAGCCUUUUCCAGUGCUGUCACCCUCACUGUGGAGAAGCUCCUUUGCAUAUUUGUGCAGAACUUUCUAUGGUUCAGUUUAUGGCCAUUUCCCCUUGUCCUGUCCCCACAGACCAAUCCAAAAGAAGAUCCAUAAGAAGUUCCAAAAGAAGUUGGCCAUAGCCCUUUGACUCCCACACUUAAGAUAUUUAUAAACAUUAAUCAUAUCCCCUCUGAGUCUUCUUUUCUCAAGGCUGAACAGACCCAGUUCUCCCAGCCUUUCCUCAUACGGGAGAUGCUCGAGGCCCUUCAUCAUCUUUGUGGCCCCUUGCUAGACUCUCUCCAGGAGAUCCCUGUCUUUUUUGUACUGGGGAGCCCAGAACUGGAUACAGUACUCCAGCUAAUCAAACUAAAUAAUAACAUCUGCAAUACUGAAGAUUAAGUAAUUUGCUUGAAAUUCUGAAUACCAGGUUAAGCAGAAACACAGCCAAAGGGCUACUGAAGAGCUUCUGGUAGCAGAGAACUGGCGUCACAACUGUCCUUAUAUCCUGGCAGUAUCAAGUUUGUUACAUGACUAGCACAUUCGUUCAGUCAUGUAAGACAAUAAGGAACUUAAUUCAUUUUAUAUGGGCUAGACUUCUUUCCCAUCUGAAUCUUGCUGAUACUCAAGGCAAAAUAUCACCAGCAAAUCAAAGGAGAUGAUCUUUACCAUCUACUCAGUGUUGAUGAGGCUGCACCUACAGUCCUGGUCCAGUACUGGGCUCCUCAAAGCAAGAGGGACAUUGGCUUUCUGGAACAAGUCCAGUGUAGACCCAUCAAGAUGCUUCAAGGCCUGGGGAACCUCUCCUUUGAGGAGUGGCUGAGAGAGCUGAGAGUUGGAACUGCUCCAUCUGGAGAAGAGGAGGUUCAAGGGGAUCUCAUCCAUGUCCAUAAAUACUUGAAGAGAGAGUGUAAAGAAGAUGGAGUCAGGCCCUUGUCAGUGAUGCCCAGUGUCUGGACAAAUGUGGUGGACACAAACACACAAACCCUAGAGGUUCCCUCUGCACAUCAGCAAGCACUUCUGUGCUGUGUGGAUGAUAGCCAGGGCACAGGUUGCUCAGAAAGGUGGUGGAGUCUUCUCCUUAGAGACCUGGUACCUGAAUGUAGUGUUAGAUCACAUGACCCCCAGAGGUCCCUUCUGACCUCAACCAUUCUGUGAUUAUGUUUCUGUGUUAUGUGGCUCAUGACUUAAUUUCCUGAUGUGUUAUGGGGCAGUGGGAGAUGUAUUAAAAAAGUAGCAAAACCAUGGCUAGGCACUAUAAAUUUUCAGACUGUUUCUGGAAUUUCUUGAUGUCCUGGACAAACUAGCAUCUAAAAAAUAAUUCCCAAGAUCAGUGAAAAAAAUUUCACAAGCUAGAGUGGACACUUGCAGAGCCUGCACUUGGCCAGUGCUAAGUAACACAUACACAGGCUGUUUCAUGUCCAGGAAAUCUUAACUGACUGAGAAAGAUAUAGCCAUAAUACUUCUUUCCUUUCUCUAUCUGGUUAUAAACACUAAAAUUUUAGACACUCAAUACCUCUGAGACUAUCUUCAUGUCAAAUGCAGUUGAAAUCCACAGUGUUUUUAAGAAAAUGCAAUUGGUUGAAGAGAUCCGCUUUUUUUUUUUUUUUUUUUUUGCAAGCACAGUAUAAACUGCAUUGUUGUAUUAGAAAUUAAACAUCGUAAAAUAUAACCCUGCCAAUUUCAGCUGACACACAGAAGUUAUUUGGUGUUUCUAUUUAUUUUCUAAGAAAACAAAACUGAUUUAGAAUAACAUAGUGUCAGGAAAAACAAACCGGUCUUACAGGGUUUGUAUAGAUGUUUACUGGAGCACAUUUUUAAGCAAUUAAGAUAUAAUAAAUGAAAAAAAAAAAGAGAGGAAAAAAAAAACAACCUUGAAAGUAUUUCUAAGAGCCUUUUUCCUGUGCCAAAUUUAUUUUACACAUUGCACUCUUCAAGUUUUUACUAGAGAUACACUCAACUGAACAAAAUCUGUCUUAAAAAUGUCUCUGUAAAGGGAUUCAUCCAGAAAGAAUCAGAAUUCCAACUUUAUAUAAUUGGUUUAAUAAGAUUUUGAACUUUAGGCUGCCACUGGCUUUUUCUCCAGCUUACAAUGUUAACGACUUUAUUAUGAUGGAUGAUGAACACACAUCUCUCUGAUAGUAUGUAUUAUUUGCUUAUGGCAAUCUUCAGGAAUAGCUCAUACUAACAUACAUACUUACUAGUCAAAAAUGAUGUUAUCAGAGGUCCCACUCAAUACGAAAAAUAAAUAAGCAAACAAAUGAACAACAAAUAUUCUAAAUAUAAGCCAAACAUUUUGUCUAUCAGGCUAGUUAUUAACUAGUGUGAUAACUUCACACAAACAAAAGAGGUGAGUUACAGACAUUAAUCAUAUCUUAUGAUUAAUAUACAAAUAUGACUGUACUAAGAUUAUCUCUGAUAACAGAAAUAAGUAAUAUUCAUUACUAACAUUUUGAGUUCACAAUUCAGUAUAAUCUUCCAUCCUUGUUAAACAAUAGAUUGUCAAAAUAAUGUAUCUUGUAAACUAGUGUUGUUGGCAUUGGUUCAUUGUUCAUGUAGACAUCAGUUACAGUAUACCAAAUUCUAGCCAUAGCCCAAUAUACUAAACAUAGCCAACUGCGUUUCUUUUCCUGAAUUGUUCAGUUUCUCUGCACAGUGCUUCCAACAGAUUGCUAUAAUUUAAUAUUCAUAAUUUUCAUUGAGUUUUAAUGUUAAAAUCUUAAACAGCAGUAUUAAAGAAGCUCAUAAAAAUGACUCAUCUCCAGCAGCUUUCUUCCACGUUGCCCUCCUCCCCAUAAAAAGAAUACACAUAAAGUUCUCACUCAGAGCCUAAGAACCACUUCUUACAAAUUGCUGGGAAAGAUAAAAAUCAAUAUAUUAGAGGUUUAGGGGAUUAUUUAUGCCUAGGAUUGCAGCAUCUGAUGCACGGACUCAGAUGUGAAGAAUCCAAACCCUUUAUUACAAGUUCUCACAUCACUUAUAUACCCUCACAGGUUUUCUUUUUCUAGCUUUCCCAUCUGCCCCUACAACUUUCCCAUUCACCUUUACAUGUCAACAAAGCAUUCUACAAACACUCUUCAACCGUUCAUGCGGGUGCUUAUCCAAUCAGAGCUGUGAGCCAUUCUUUCUUAUUUUAGAGGUGUCCUUGGUUCUCAUGCUGUUUAUCUUGCUACACAGCUGAUGCUCUGAACAGUUUUUCUUGUAUUCCCACAUAGGAUGAUUACCAUUAGAAAAAACAGUAGAAUAUUUUUUUUUCCCCAAUUGAAUGUGACAUGUAUUCAGUACAGUUACGUAUUUAAAUUUCUAUUGAAAC
ensembl:lncRNA